AACAUAGCUUUUUGCAUUUUUUAAAAGUAAAGUCUGCCCGGUGACUAAGGUUUAACGGCCGCGAAAGUGCUAAGGUAGCAUAAUAAUUUGUCUUUUCAUUGAAGAAUAGUAUGAAUGGACGAACGAAGCUCAACUGUCUCUUUUAAUUAAGUAUAAAUUGAUUUUCAAAUGAAAAAUUUUGAAUACAUAAGUAGGACGAGAAGACCCUGUAGAGUUUUAGUAUAUUUUUAAUUUUAUUGAAAAAUACUUUUAUUGGGGCAAUAAAAGAGCCAUAAAACUCUUUUUAAUUUUCUUUGUGUUAACAAAUUAUUUAAUCCUAAAAUAGAAUUAAGAAAAACUACCUCAGGGAUAACAGCGUAAUCUUUCCAGAGAGAACUAAUCGAAGGUAAGGUUUGCGACCUCGAUGUUGGACUAAAAGUACUACAAGGUGUAGAAUUCUUGUGUGUGAGCCUGUUCGGCUUUUAAACUUUUACAUGAUCU
rnacentral:rRNA from 1 species